GUCAUAUGCUUGUCUCAAAGAUUAAGCCAUGCAUGUCUCAGUACAAGCCAAAUUAAGGUGAAACCGCGAAAGGCUCAUUAAAUCAGUUAUGGUUCCUUAGAUCGUACCCACAAUUACUUGGAUAACUGUGGUAAUUCUAGAGCUAAUACAUGCAAACAGAGCUCCGACCGGAGACGGAAGGAGUGCUUUUAUUAGAUCAAAACCAAUCGGUGGCGGGUUCUCGCUCGUUAUCGUAUAACUUGGUGACUCUGAAUAACUUUACGCUGAUCGCACGGUCAUCGCACCGGCGACGCAUCUUUCAAAUGUCUGCCUUAUCAACUGUCGAUGGUAGGUUCUGCGCCUACCAUGGUUGUAACGGGUAACGGGGAAUCAGGGUUCGAUUCCGGAGAGGGAGCCUGAGAAACGGCUACCACAUCCAAGGAAGGCAGCAGGCGCGCAAAUUACCCACUCCCGGCACGGGGAGGUAGUGACGAAAAAUAACGAUACGGGACUCAUCCGAGGCCCCGUAAUCGGAAUGAGUACACUCUAAACCCUUUAACGAGGAUCAAUUGGAGGGCAAGUCUGGUGCCA
rnacentral:rRNA from 1 species